rnacentral:rRNA from 1 species
UUAGAUACCCUAUUAUUUUAAGCUAUAUAUUGGUAGUAAUUAAUAAUUUAUGAAAUCAUAAGAUUUUGGCGGUAUUUUAAGCUUAUUAGAGGAAUUUGCUCUGUGAUGGAUACAACGCCUCGAUCUUACUUAAUUUGGUUUUAAAAGUCAGUUUGUAUACCACUAUAUUUAAUUAUAUUGAAUAAUUAUAUUUAAGAUUUUUAUAAAAAAAAUAUAUUAAGUCAAGGUGCAAUUAAUAAUUAUGAAUGAAGUGAAUUACAUUAAUUUUAAUUUUAUUAAAAUAUUGAAAAAAAAAUUUUUUUAGGAUUUAAUAGUAAAA